UACGUAGGGACCAAGCGUUGUUCGGAUUUACUGGGCGUAAAGGGCGCGUAGGCGGCUUGUCAAGUCACUUGUGAAAUCUCUGGGCUUAACCCAGAACGGCCAAGUGAAACUGACUUGCUAGAGUGCAGAAGGGGCAAUCGGAAUUCUUGGUGUAGCGGUGAAAUGCGUAGAUAUCAAGAGGAACACCUGAGGUGAAGACGGGUUGCUGGGCUGACACUGACGCUGAGGCGCGAAAGCCAGGGGAGCAAACGGG
rnacentral:rRNA from 1 species